AUCAGGGGUAAACCUGUGGAACUCGAACGAACGAACGGGGAGAUUCACCGUAUUUCCGUUAAACAGGGUCCGCGAUGUGAUCCGUUCACCGCGAUCGUUGCGUUUCUCUAAACCGGAAACGUUUACGGUCGUGGCGGUCGCGUCGUUAUAAGGUACGGCCCGCGGAGUGCGUGCACUUCUCCCUCAGUAAAACACCGCGACCCGUUCGCGAUAAACCGGCGAUCGAACGCACCGUGCGGUUGUCCCGUUUCGAACUUAAAAAAUUCGGGACGGAGCCGCGGUGUCGCGAUCGCCUUCGGACGGUAAAAUACAAGGUUCACGUUCGCCGACGUGUACGGGAGAUUUUAUUUUUAAAAUUUUCCGUAUAAUAACGGCGUCCGUGUCGUGAACCGGACGAACCUCGUUCGGACCUCGACGUUUACGCGUCGUGGGUUCCGCGCGCGCAUAUUUAAAGUUUGUUCGUUCGCCGUGUCACGACGUCUCGGACGGAACGUGUCCCGGUCAGCGGUGGUUUUGUUUCGGGCACUCACAGGACCC
rnacentral:rRNA from 1 species